CCUACGGGAGGCAGCAGUGAGGAAUAUUGGUCAAUGGACGAGAGUCUGAACCAGCCAAGUAGCGUGAAGGAUGACUGCCCUAUGGGUUGUAAACUUCUUUUAUAUGGGAAUAAAAUGUUCCACGUGUGGGAUUUUGUAUGUACCAUAUGAAUAAGGAUCGGCUAACUCCGUGCCAGCAGCCGCGGUAAUACGGAGGAUCCGAGCGUUAUCCGGAUUUAUUGGGUUUAAAGGGAGCGUAGGUGGAUUGUUAAGUCAGUUGUGAAAGUUUGCGGCUCAACCGUAAAAUUGCAGUUGAAACUUGCAGUCUUGAGUACAGUAGAGGUGGGCGGAAUUCGUGGUGUAGCGGUGAAAUGCUUAGAUAUCACGAAGAACUCCGAUUGCGAAGGCAGUUCACUGGACUGCAACUGACACUGAGGCUCGAAAGUGUGGGUAUCAAACAGGAUUAGAUACCCGAGUAGUC
rnacentral:rRNA from 1 species